rnacentral:lncRNA from 12 species
UUCUAGUCGACUAAAAGCGCCGCACGGCACUGAGCUGAGGGCUUUGCGCGGCUUCGGUGCAGGAACAACUCGAGUCACCUUUACUGGAAAUCAUUUUGCUGAAGUCCUGAAACUGCAGUUCUUGAAGUUAAAAGGUAAGCAGGAAGUAAAUUUGUACCUACUGAAAUUCUCUUCUAAAGG